UCUGUUCUUGUGGUCUCCUGAGUUCAUUCUUCCGAGGACACCUGACAAGACCGAUCUUCACAAGAACACGAGUCCGUUCUCUGUGUUCUUGGAAUUGAGAAACAGCCAAUCUCUUUCUCCCUGUUCUUCCUUUUUUUGUCUUGACUCCUCUCCUCCUGAGUUUCUAGCAGGUUGCUGAUUGCUUCCUCCAGCUGUGUCCACUUACCAUGGAGGAGUGAGGUGGGAUAAAAACAGAGGCCAGACACUCAGAUGUUGAGAAAAGAGCUAGAGAGGAACCUUUCUCCAUCUCCAGGGGCUGGUUGCACCAGCAGUGCGAAGCAGUAAGGAGGUGGAUGACCUGUCCUUUUUGUUGGAAUUUUUCUCCUGUUUUAAGAUCUCAGCCACUUUAUCCGUCAGCUCUGUGAGGGCCUUUCUCAAAAUCAGCAGAGAGAAGUACGGAUGGACGUCAAUGCUGGGUCGACCGCCGGCGUCAGGAGGAGCGCAGAGCAUCUUAUAGUUCUGCACAGAUCAGUCCCACAGGUAAAGUUAGCAUGGCAGUGAACAGGAACCAGGAUUAUUAUAGUUCUGCUUUUUUUAAAUGAGUUUUUAUUACAAUACUAUUUUUAAAUUUGC